rnacentral:rRNA from 1 species
CCCUUAGAUGUUCUGGGCCGCACGCGCGCUACACUGACAGAGCCAACGAGUUCUUUCCCUUGGCCGGAAGGUCUGGGUAAUCUUGUUAAACUCUGUCGUGCUGGGGAUAGAGCAUUGCAAUUAUUGCUCUUCAACGAGGAAUGCCUAGUAAGCGCGUGUCAUCAGCACGCGUUGAUUACGUCCCUGCCCUUUGUACACACCGCCCGUCGCUACUACCGAUUGAAUGGCUCAGUGAGGCCUUCGGACUGGCUCGAGGAGGUUGGCAACGACCACCUCAAGCCGGAAAGUUGGUCAAACUCGGUCAUUUAGAGGAAGUAAAAGUCGUANCA